rnacentral:rRNA from 1 species
AUUGAACGCUGGCGGCAGGCCUAACACAUGCAAGUCGAGCGGAUGAAGAGAGCUUGCUCUCUGAUUCAGCGGCGGACGGGUGAGUAAUGCCUAGGAAUCUGCCUGGUAGUGGGGGACAACGUUUCGAAAGGAACGCUAAUACCGCAUACGUCCUACGGGAGAAAGCAGGGGACCUUCGGGCCUUGCGCUAUCAGAUGAGCCUAGGUCGGAUUAGCUAGUAGGUGGGGUAAAGGCUCACCUAGGCGACGAUCCGUAACUGGUCUGAGAGGAUGAUCAGUCACACUGGAACUGAGACACGGUCCAGACUCCUACGGGAGGCAGCAGUGGGGAAUAUUGGACAAUGGGCGAAAGCCUGAUCCAGCCAUGCCGCGUGUGUGAAGAAGGUCUUCGGAUUGUAAAGCACUUUAAGUUGGGAGGAAGGGCAGUAAGUUAAUACCUUGCUGUUUUGACGUUACCAACAGAAUAAGCACCGGCUAAGUUCGUGCCAGCCGCCGCCGUAAAAC